rnacentral:lncRNA from 10 species
CCUAGCGGGACAACAUUGAAAGGGAAAGGGGAUCCUCACAAACGAUUACAUGUAAACGUGAGAGGCACCCAGUUUGGAUUCCAGACCAGAAGAAAUCCAGGAAUGGAUUUAAAAAGGAAAGCUGGUUCCCAUCUCCCUGGAGAAUUUAUCUUUAUUAAAGGAGUCAAGAAACCAUGCUGGGGAACCCCACACAGCACAGAACUAUGAGGCAGACUGUAGGAUCUGAUGACAGCCAGAAAGAAGCCCUCAUCCUAGUUGCAAGAAACUGAAUUCUGCCAACAACCUAAGUGAGCUUAGAAAUAAAUCCUUAUCCAUUCAAGCCUCAAGUAUGAUUGACAUCAUGUGAGACUCUAAGCAGAGGACCCGGUUAAGCCAUGAUUGAACUCCUGACCCACCGAAACUGUGAGAUGAUAAGUGACCUGUAGCAAGAAGUGGGAUGUUCUGGAUUGGAAGAGAAACAGCAAAAUGUUAGCAAAACAGUUUAAAGGAAAAGCUGUAAGAGAAGAUGAAAACAGCUUACAAUGAUCCAAAGGGAGGCAUUAAGGCAAAGAGGAAAUGUUAAUGCAGGCUAAAGACAAGUCUGGGAAGAAAAUGAAAAAAUUCCCCUAAUGGGUGAUUCAAAAACAAUCAUAAGAAUAAUAAUAGUUGAAAAAAACACUAGUAGAAUUAAGCAAGAAUACUGAAGAUAAUUUAUUAACAUAUUGGCCUGGCACAGUGGCUCACACCUGUAAUUCCAGCAUUUUGGGAGGCCAAGGCAGAAGCUCAC